UAUUAGUUGAAAAAUAAUCUUGAAAUUACUUUUGCACAUGAGAAAUACCUAUAUCAAUAAGAUUUUCACACUUCGCGUCAACAAACCUAGUGGCAAAUAGGCGAAGCUCAGAGUGAGCUCACACAUACAUUUGCACCCAAGUAAAAACCGACUCUUUUGAUAACGCGAAUGUGAAUAGUUUUAAUACUCAUUGGCUACAGCGUCGGUAUUAGAUGAAAUCAUAUAGAUUUUUCAAAAAUUAGUCUUAAAAAAAUUACGAAAUUAAUUUCACCUACGAGCAGUCCUGAUUUCUUGACGAUUUUAUUACAUCGCGUAAAUAAAAAUUUAAGUUUUCUUUUUCCUAGCUAGGAUCGCUGCAGUCUAUGUUAUUUGACAUCCAGUGCUUUGUGAAUCAUUUUUAAUCAAGGUGUUGCUGUGAGUAUUGUGGAGUUUAAAAAGAAACAAGGAAAAUAUUUGCUGAGAAAAGAAUUGACGCCAAUAGAAUAUCCCGAAAAUCAGGCAUCCCAAAUUCAGGCAUCUCAGAGUCGCCUACGCUAAGGAGCAGCAACGACAGAAUGACCUGGUAGAUGAAUCAUCUUCAGAGGGCGAAUAUGAAACUUAAAUUUUUCAAUAAAAGUAUAAUAAAUAUUCACAAA